AGGACGAACGCUGGCGGCGUGCUUAACACAUGCAAGUCGAGCGGAAAGGCCCUUCGGGGUACUCGAGCGGCGAACGGGUGAGUAACACGUGAGCAACCUGCCCUCAGCUCUGGGAUAGCUCCCGGAAACGGGAUUAAUACCGGAUACGACCCAACUGACAUCGGUCAGGGUGGAAAGGAUUCCGGCUGAGGAUGGACUCGCGGCCUAUCAGCUAGUUGGUGGAGUAACGGCCCACCAAGGCGACGACGGGUA
rnacentral:rRNA from 1 species